GGAUUCCCCUAGUAACGGCGAGUGAAGCGGGAAGAGCUCAAGCUUAAAAUCUCCGUGCAAGUUUUGCGCGGCGAAUUGUAGUCUAUAGAGGCGUGAUCAGUGUGGGCGCUUGGGGCAAGUUCCUUGGAAGAGGACAGCAUGGAGGGUGAUACUCCCGUUCAUCCCUGAGUUGCUCGUGCGUACGAUCCGUUUUCUUUGAGUCGCGUUGUUUGGGAAUGCAGCGCAAAGUAGGUGGUAAAUUCCAUCUAAAGCUAAAUAUUGGUGCGAGACCGAUAGCGAACAAGUACCGUGAGGGAAAGAUGAAAAGAACUUUGAAAAGAGAGUUAAAGAGUACCUGAAACUGCUGAAAGGGAACCGAAUCGUUUCCAGUGUCUAUAAUCCGUGGUAUAUUUCAUUGGCGAGUGUGUGCGUGCGUGUGCUGUGGCAGCGGCUUUUUUGGCUGCGCUCGGCGUGUGUGCUGUGUGUGCUUGCUGGUGCCCUGUGCUGCGGUGGGACGUCAAGGUCAGUUCGUAUGCUGCGGGAAAUGGCCGCCGAGGAGGUAGGGCUUACGCUUGCGUUUGUCUGUUAUAUCUUGGUGGACGAGUAGUCGCGGUUGGGACUGAGGUGCCUACAACGUGUUUUUGAGUGGGCCUGUGUCUCUGUGUGCGCCGUGUGCGGAUAGCUUGCUAUGCGUGUGUGGUUGUGUGUGGAUUGAUGUGGGUUUUAACUUGUUGCCGUUCGGGACGUUGACGAAAUGGAGCGAUUUGACCCGUCUUGAAACACGGACCAAGGAGUCUAACAUGUGUGCAAGUGUUAGGGUGUGGAAACCCCAGCGCGAAAUGAAAGUGAAGGGCAGCGUAAGUUGUCUGAGGUAGGAAAUGCUGCGGGCUUCGGUCUGCGGUGUGGCACUAUCGACCGAUCAUGAACCUUCGUGGUGAAAGAUUUGAGUUUGAGCACAUAUGUUGGUACCCGAAAGAUGGUGAACUAUGCCUGAGUAGGGUGAAGCCAGGGGAAACUCUGGUGGAAGCUCGUAGCGAUUCUGACGUGCAAAUCGAUCGUCAAACUUGGGUAUAGGGGCGAAAGACUAAUCGAACCAUCUAGUAGCUGGUUCCCUCCGAAAUUUCCCUCAGGAUAGCAGCAACUUAUUUACGAUAGUUUUAUGAGGUAAAGCGAAUGAUUAGAGGAUUCGGGGAAGAAACUUCCUCGACCUAUUCUCAAACUUUAAAUCUGUAAGACCUGCAGGUUUCUUAAUGAA
rnacentral:rRNA from 1 species